rnacentral:misc_RNA from 1 species
GAAUUAAUGGAAAGCUUGAAGCUAAAGGUAUACCAUUUCUUUCUUUCUUUCUUUACAGUCUUAUCCUCUUAGAAUAUUUUCUGGGCUUCUUUUAAUUAUUUGCUCUGGGAAUACUUGAUUAUUAACUAGUCUUUUUUGUGGGUGUUGAAAAUAAUAUCCACCAUUAAUAUUCAUUUCUUGAAACUGCGCUUUAAAAACUAAUAUAAUUAGCUAGAUUAAUUCAUAUAUAAAGUAUGGGUUUUCUGUUUGGGUUAAAUAAGAAUUUGUUUGGCAAUAACGUUUCAGGUCCUGAAGCAUCUAGGCCACCAACAA